GGUAGGAGUAUUAAUGACAUGGGAUAGGGAUAUUUAGGGGUAUUAAUGACAUGGGGUAGGGCUAUUUAGGGGUAGGGGUAUUAAUGACAUGGGGUAGGGCUAUGGCUAUUUAGGGGUAUGGCUAUUUAGGGGUAGGGCUAUGGCUAUUUAGGGGUAAGGCUAUUUAGGGCAGUGGCGGACUAAGGAGGGCCCCGGGUGCCACUUUGUAGAGGGGUGCCUUGACCCUGGUCUUGGGGCUGGAGGGGGCUGUGUGAGCUUUACCCCAUGGCAGCUGGGGUGUCACACAGCUUACACGGAGACCAGCAAGAUAAACUGGCCGCACAGAGGAAGGGGGCGGAGC